UUAACCUAAGCUAGCAAUGUUGGGCUUGAAGAUCUAGCUCAGAGAAGAUUAGCAUGGCUUGUGCGCAAGAAUAACACGCACAAAUCGAGAAAUGUCUAAAUUUUUU